AACGCUAGCUACAGGCUUAACACAUGCAAGUCGAGGGGCAGCACAAGGCAGCAAUGCUGAGGUGGCGACCGGCGCACGGGUGCGUAACGCGUAUCCAACCUUCCCGUUACUCUUGGAUAGCCUUCCGAAAGGGAGAUUAAUACAAGAUGGUGUUGAAAUUCCGCAUGUUAUUUCAACUAAAGAUUUAUCGGUAACGGAUGGGGAUGCGUGACAUUAGAUAGUAGGCGGGGUAACGGCCCACCUAGUCUACGAUGUCUAGGGGUUCUGAGAGGAAGGUCCCCCACACUGGAACUGAGACACGGUCCAGACUCCUACGGGAGGCAGCAGUGAGGAAUAUUGGUCAAUGGCCGGAAGGCUGAACCAGCCAAGUAGCGUGAAGGAUGAAGGUUCUAUGGAUUGUAAACUUCUUUUAUGAGGGAAUAAAACCUCCCACGUGUGGGAGCUUGUAUGUACCUUAUGAAUAAGCAUCGGCUAACUCCGUGCCAGCAGCCGCGGUAAUACGGAGGAUGCGAGCGUUAUCCGGAUUUAUUGGGUUUAAAGGGAGCGUAGACGGGAGAUUAAGUCAGCUGUGAAAGUUUGAGGCCCAACCUUAAAAUUGCAGUUGAUACUGGUUUCCUUGAGUGCGGUUGAGGUGUAUGGAAUUCGUGGUGUAGCGGUGAAAUGCUUAGAUAUCACGAAGAACUCCGAUUG
rnacentral:rRNA from 1 species